GAUGAAGAACGCAGCGAAAUGCGAUAAGUAAUGUGAAUUGCAGAAUUCAGUGAAUCAUCGAAUCUUUGAACGCACAUUGCGCCCGUCAGUAUUCUGGCGGGCAUGCCUGUUCGAGCGUCAUUACGCCCCUCAAGUCCCCUGUGGACUUGGUGUGGGGGAUCGGCGAGGCUGGUUUUCCAGCACAGCCGUCCCUUAAAUUAAUUGGCGGUCUCGCCGUGGCCCUCCUCUGCGCAGUAGUAAAACACUCGCAACAGGAGCCCGGCGCGGUCCACUGCCGUAAAACCCCCCAACUUUUUAUAGUUGACCUCGAAUCAGGUAGGACUACCCGCUGAACUUAAGCAUAUCAAUAAGCGGAGGA
rnacentral:misc_RNA from 1 species